CGGCGGACGGGUGAGUAACACGUGGAUAACCUACCUAUAAGACUGGGAUAACUUCGGGAAACCGGAGCUAACACCGGAUAAUAUAUUGAACCGCAUGGUUCAAUAGUGAAAGACGGUUUUGCUGUCACUUAUAGAUGGAUCCGCGCCGCAUUAGCUAGUUGGUAAGGUAACGGCUUACCAAGGCAACGAUGCGUAGCCGACCUGAGAGGGUGAUCGGCCACACUGGAACUGAGACACGGUCCAGACUCCUACGGGAGGCAGCAGUC
rnacentral:rRNA from 1 species